AUUGUUAUUUUAUUCUUUCUGUCUAUAUUCUUCCUUUUUCAUUUCUUUUCAGUUUUCAUUUUUCGAUUUUAUUUUAUUUCAUGUCCUUUUCUUAUUCUUUUCUUGUUUUAAUUUUACCUUUAUUUUAUUUUUCUUUUGGUUUUAGUUUUAUUGUUCUUCCUUGCUUCUAUUUGUUUUUCUUUUCUCUUUUCAGGUUUUCUAUGUUUCUUCAUUCUUAUUUUAUAUUUUAAUUCCUUUUAAUCUUCUUUUUAUCCUUAUUUAAAUUAUUCAUUUAUUUUAUUUGCUCUAUGCAUUUUUUAUCAUUUGUUAAUCAUGUUUGUUUUUAUAUUUUUCUUCUUAGUAAUUUUAUUUUUAUUUUCUAUAUAUAUGUGAUGUUUAUGUAGUAUAUGUUUAUUGUUCUAUGUUGUGUUAAAAGAUAUUAUGAUGUUUCUUAUGAUGUUCACUCAGUAUACAUGUAGUCUAUAAUAUAUGUGAUGUUCAAUAAUAUAUUUACGAUAUUUGAAAAGUAACCCUUUGAUAUUAUUUGAAUUUUUUCUUUAUUUUGUGUUUUUAUUUUUUUCUUAUGCUUUUUACUCUAGAUUUUCUUAUUAUUUUUAUCUAUGUCAUGUAUUUAUGUAUUUUUAUGUAUAUUGUAAUAUCACUUUCAUAAACCUAAAACCAAAAUACUAUUGUUCUAAAUCGAUAAUAUUUUUUUUACAAAAGACAGAACAUUGUGUGUCGAACCUAGAAUAUUGUCUUUACUUAAUAAAAGAAAAUAUUUUAUCUUUAUAUGAUAAAAAUUCAUUAUUAAAAUUUUAUCUGAAUAUAUCCAUGUAUGAUCUUAAGAAAUUUAAUGGUGCAAUCAGAAUUUAAUUUAUAUCUUUGGUUUAUGAGUUAUGACUUUUUUAAUUCGCUAAAACAAUUUUGCAUGCAUAGGUGAGUGGGGUCUAGAUUGAUGGGAUAGCGUGUCAUCGCGUAGUAAAAAAGACCACGAAAGAGAUGAGAGUUGUGGACGAGACGUCUCCAUAAUUUUUAGUUGUAGAGAUAAAUAUUCAUUAAUAAAAUUUAUCUAAAUAUAUCCAUGUGCGAUCUUGUUUUAAAGGAUUUGUUACAAAAAGUUUAAUGGUGCAAUCAAAAUUUAAUUUAUAUCUUCCGUUUAAGAGUUCUGACUUUUUUAAUUCGCUAAAAUAUUUUUGCAUACAUGGGUGAGUGGGGCCUCGCUUGAUAGGAUAACCUAUCAUGACAUAGUAAAAGGGGAGUUGUGGCUUCACCAUGGCUGCGAUGGUGAGGAACAUGGCCGGCACAGUAGGAGGUGGCGGGGGGCGAAUCAAGGCCUGAGAUCUGAUACCAGAUAUUAUAUGGCUGCUAGGGUUGAGGGAGAUUGAUUGGGGUUAAGAGAGCGGAGGCUGAAGGCGUGAACAGUACCCACGGCUACUAUAGCGUAGGUACUGUUCACAGGGAGGUGGCUGUGAGAGCGAGAGAAGAGACUAGGGUUUUGGGCGCUAGGAACACCAGCCGCGGGGCUGUGCCCACGGCCAGUAAGAGAGAAGGGAUUUCCUUCUAAUCUCUUGCUUGUUUAGAUUAAUACAUCUCCUCUCCUUAUAUAAAGAGGUUUACUUGAAUUACAAGAAAGGCUUACUUGACCCCUAAGCAAGCGACCCUUAUCUCUAAUUAACCCUAACACUACUAGGCUAUGGCACCAGCCCAGGCCCAAUAGGUCCCUUGCGUACUCUAACAACUUAUUUAUGCAGUAUAAAGGCAGGAAGGCAGUCAGGUUCAUGAAUUUGACAUAUAUGACUCAGUUUUCAUUUUUUUCUUUCCAAUAGUGCUUAUCUAAGAUUACAUUUUUGUUUAGCACUUAUAGCUUUGGUAUUUGUUUACAGGUUCUAUUGCCAUAUUGGCGUGAUAGGCACUAUACUUUAUUUAUAAUAGACAUAACUAACAAAUUUUUGUAUAUUAUUGAUCCGCAUUCUCCAAAUCUACGGCGCAUGACUGAUGAUCCAAGCAAGCCCAUAUACAACUAUACUAAAUAUUAUUUUGAAUCAUUUCAAUCUCACCAUGAAAUUAGCAAAUCCUAUAUGGAACGACAAUAUUUUUCUCUGGCGUCGUGAAUUCAAAAAAAUCAUCCAAGAAGCAAAGACUGAAUUCAUAGUGAAUAUCUUGAAGAGCAGAGAACUCCAAGUUCUACUUCAACAAAUAAAUUAGCUGAAAUAUACGAGAUAUGUAUUUUAUUGUGUCUUGUUAUACAUUAGCAUUUUCCAUAAUUGAAUGUGACUUAAAAUAUUGAAAAAUAUCGUUAUUUUGUUAUUUUUAAUUACACCCUAAAAUAAAACCGUAGCGUGCCCACGGGCACUAUACUAGUCUUUAACUAGGUUAAUGCCCGUACGUUGUUACGGGUUUUAAAAUCCAAAUACUCUAUGUUUCUUGAUUGAUAUUUUAUUUUUUCUGUCUAUAUUCUUCCUUUUCCAUUUAUUUUUCAGUUUUCAUUUUUUGAUUUUAUUUUAUUUCAUGUUCUUUUCUUAUUUUAAUUUUACCUUUUAUUUUCUUUUUCUUUUGGUUUUAGUUUUAUCGUUUUCCUUCUAUUUGUUUUUCUUUUUUCUUUUUCAGUUUCAGGUUUUCUAAGUUUCUUCAUUCUUAUUUUAUAUUUUAAUUUCUUUUAAUCUUCUUUUUAUCUUUAUUUAAAUUAUUUAUUUAUUUUAUUUGCUCUAUGCACUUUUUAUCAUUUGUUAAUCAUGUUUGUUUUUAUUUUUUUUCUUCUUAGUAAUUUUAUUUUUUAUUUUUAUUUUCUAUAUAUAUAUGUGAUGUUUGGAUAUAUUUAGUGUUCUAUGUUGUGUUAAAAGAUGUUCUAUGAUGUUUCUUAUGGUGUUCACUCAGUAUACAUGUAAUCUAUAAUAGAUGUGAUGUUCUAUAAUAUAUUUAAUGAUGUUCUAUGAUGUAUUUAGUGAUGUUAAUAUUCUAUAAAUAUAUUUACGAUAUUUGAAAAGUAACCCUUUGACAUUAUUUAAAUUUUUCUCUAUUUUGUGUUUUUAUUUUUUUCUUAUGCUUUUUACUCUAGAUUUUCUUAUUAGUUUUAUCUAUGUCAUGUAUUUAUCUAUGUAUAUUGUAAUAUCAGUUUCAUAAACCUAAAACCAAAAUACUAUUGUUCUAAAUCAAUAUUAUUUUUUUACAAAGACAGAACAUUGUCUGUCGAACCUAGAAUAUUGUCUCUACUUAAUAAAAUAAAAUAUUUUAUCUUUAUAAGAUAAAUAUUCAUUAUUAAAAUUUUAUCUAAAUAUAUCCAUGUAUGAUCUUGUUUUGAAGGAUUUGUUAUAAGAAAUUUAAUGGUGCAAUCGGAAUUUAAUUUAUAUCUUUGGUUUAUGAGUUAUGACUUUUUUUAAUUCGCUAAAACAAUUUUGCAUGCAUAGGUGAGUGGGGCUUAGGUUGAUGGGAUAGCGUGUCAUCGCGCAGUAAAAAAGACCACGAAAGGGAUGAGAGUUGUGGACGCGUCCUCUCCAUAAUUUUUAGUUGUAGAGAUAAAUAUUCAUUAAUAAAAUUUUAUCUAAAUAUAUUCAUGUGUGAUCUUGCUUUAAAGAAUUUGUUAUAAGAAAUUUAAUGGUGCAAUCAAAAUUUAAUUUAUAUCUUCGGUUUAAGAGUUAUAAUUUUUUUAAUUCGCUAAAAUAUUUUUGCAUGCAUGAGUGAGUGGGGCCUAUGUCGAUAAGAUAACCUAUCAUGACAUAGUAAAAGAAAAGUUGUGACUUCACCAUGAAUGUGGUAGAUGAGUCUACUCGGUUUCUUGUUGUAGAGAUAACGAGGGAAAAGGCUUGCUCCAAAUCCGGGAUUCAGAUGGCAAUAGGGCCUUGUUUAGUUCAAAAUUUUUUUGGAAAAUCGACACCGUAACAUUUUCGUUUAUUUGUGGUAAAUAUUGUCCAAUUAUAGAUUAACUAGGUUUAAAAGAUUCAUCUCGUCAAUUUCGACUAAACUGUAUAAUUAAUUUUUAUUUUCGUCUAUAUUUAAUACUCCAUGCAUACGUCUAAAGAUUCGAU
rnacentral:lncRNA from 1 species